rnacentral:rRNA from 1 species
CCUACGGGAGGCAGCAGUGGGGAAUAUUGCUCAAUGGGCGAAACCCUGAUGCAGCGACGUCGCGUGAGUGAAGAAGUAAUUCGUUACGUAAAGCUCUAUCAGCAGGGGAGUAAAUGACGGUACCUGAGUAAGAAGCUCCGGCUCACUACGUGCCAGCAGCCGCGGUAAUACGUAGGGGGCCAGCGUUAUCCGGCUUUACUGGGUGUAAAGGGAGCGUAGUCGGUGUGACAAGUCUGGAGUGAAAUGCUGCAGCUUAACUGCGGAACUGCAGUGGAAACUGGCGGACUAGAGUGCGGGAGGGGUAAGCGGAAUGCCUGGUGUAGCGGUGAAAUGCGUAGAUAUUAGGAAGAACACCGAUGGCGAAGGCAGCUUACUGGACCGUAACUGACGCUGAGGCUCGAAAGUGUGGGGAGCAAACAGGAUUAGAUACCCCAGUAGUC